UAGGGAAUCUUCCGCAAUGGGCGAAAGCCUGACGGAGCAACGCCGCGUGAGUGAUGAAGGUCUUCGGAUCGUAAAACUCUGUUAUUAGGGAAGAACAAAUGUGUAAGUAACUAUGCACGUCUUGACGGUACCUAAUCAGAAAGCCACGGCUAACUACGUGCCAGCAGCCGCGGUAAUACGUAGGUGGCAAGCGUUAUCCGGAAUUAUUGGGCGUAAAGCGCGCGUAGGCGGUUUUUUAAGUCUGAUGUGAAAGCCCACGGCUCAACCGUGGAGGGUCAUUGGAAACUGGAAAACUUGAGUGCAGAAGAGGAAAGUGGAAUUCCCUGUGUAGCGGUGAAAUGCGCAGAGAUAUGGAGGAACACCAGUGGCGAAGGCGACUUUCUGGUCUGUAACUGACGCUGAUGUGCGAAAGCGUGGGGAUCAAACAGG
rnacentral:rRNA from 1 species